UGGGGAAUUUUGGACAAUGGGCGCAAGCCUGAUCCAGCCAUGCCGCGUGCGGGAAGAAGGCCUUCGGGUUGUAAACCGCUUUUGUCAGGGAAGAAACGCUCUGGGCUAAUACCCUGGGGUAAUGACGGUACCUGAAGAAUAAGCACCGGCUAACUACGUGCCAGCAGCCGCGGUAAUACGUAGGGUGCAAGCGUUAAUCGGAAUUACUGGGCGUAAAGCGUGCGCAGGCGGUUAUGCAAGACAGAUGUGAAAUCCCCGGGCUCAACCUGGGAACUGCAUUUGUGACUGUAUAGCUAGAGUACGGUAGAGGGGGAUGGAAUUCCGCGU
rnacentral:rRNA from 1 species